rnacentral:lncRNA from 1 species
UUUAUUAUUAAAAGCUUUUAUAAUAUUUACGCAGGUUAUCAGCCUGCAGAGACUGUAGAGACCGAUACUGCACCGAAAAGGGAACGCUGCAAAAACAGUAAAGACGCUGAGUUUGUGGAGAAACACGAGAAAGAGCUGAUCAGAAGGGUCUCACUGGUGAAGCCCAUUGCAGACGACAUGAAACCUCUGAUUGGUGAUGAAAAAUACCAAAUCAUCCUAAAAUCAUUAUCAACCUUUGAUCAAAUGAGAGCUCUUCUGUCUUUCCUGAAGACAGAUGCACUGAAAGAGAAACUUUACCAAAGUCUUAAAAUACAUGAGCAUUCCCUUGUUGAAGAUUUGGAGAGUUCUGGGUAGAUGCUCUUUAUGUGUCAGUACAAUGAGUUCAAUAUGUUUUUUUAUCAUUUUAAAGCAGACAGGUGAUUAAUUAUAUAAUAAGGUCUGGAGUGCAGUGUGAUGACUAAAUUAGUAAUAGUUAGUAUACAAAAAAAAAAAAAAAAACAAUAUUAGAAAGAAUAAUCAUGGCUGACAUGAACAGUCCUGUGAGAGAUUAUCAUAAAGUGCUGUAACACAUAACACAGCAUUGCUUCAAUACACACAUACCAGUGGACUUUCUGUCUUCGUUUGGGCACAAGAUGGCCAUCUUUAUUCCUCAUCCUGAGCAAAUAAUUUCCUUGGUCUUCCUUCCCUUCUGCUGACAUGAACAGUCCUGUCAGAGAUCAGAGUGCUGUAUAAUACAGCAUUGCUUCAGUACACACAUACCAGUGGACUUGCACAGCUUUCUGUCUUCGUUUAGGUGCAAGAUGGCCUUCUUCAUUCCUCAUCCUGAGCAAAUAAUUUACUUGGUCUUCCUUCUCUUCUGUAAAACAAGAAAAUCUCUACUUACUCUGUGUGCAAUUAAUCUUGCUCCUUAAACAUAUAAUUAAAUUCAUUUAAAAAGAUUUAGACCAGAGCAUUUGAUGAGUAAAUGUUGAUUAAUUUUUUUUUGUUGUUUUUUUUUAUGUACCUGAGAAGGGCUGAUAAUGACGAUAUUCGCUGAGACUCAGUAUUCGCUGAGACUCAGUAAUAGCUUUUUUAGUUUUUAGGAAGGUUUGUGAGGGUUGGCUCUUAAAAGAGCUGUUGAGCUCGAUAUUGUAGACCUGAAAAAGAAGGACAUCAUCUGCAAACAAUCCUGCAAGACAGAAAGGACGGAAAUAUUAUUACAUUACAUUCAACGUAUACAUUACUGUUUUUUUUUUUUUUUUUUAAGACCAUAAAAGCAGCCUCUGUAAAGAUGCUUUAGCAAGUCAUUAAUAGCAAGCUAUAUUCAUAUGAAUUCUUUUAAAACUGAAUACAUGCUAACAGGACUGGUUCUGACAAAUUAAUCAAAGAUUUGAUAUAUCACGUGACACAUCAAACUAGAAUUUCCACUCGUGGAAACAGAUAAAUGACGAGGUGCAGAGAGAUUUUAUGUAUAGCUGGAACAUGAACUGAUGGGCUUAUUUGAAGUAAUUUAUUAAGAAGCCAAUGGACAAUAUAAACUUUCUGACUGUGUGGGGCAUCUGACUGUGUGCUGACACCGCAACUGAUUUACCAAUAUUGUGAUAGUGUCAGAUGAGACAGUCCUGGGGCUUGUACAAUAUCACACAAGUGUUAAACUGAAUUACUGAAUUAUUAAGACUUUGAUGUGUGACUGUAUUUAGGGAUAAUUUUUAAGACUUUGACCCUGUCCAAAUACCCACACUUGCGGUCUUGGCCACUUGAGAGCGUGUGUACGUGACAGUCCCAGGUCUUAAUAAUGCGAAAGCGCAGUGCCUUUAACACACACUAAACCCACACUAUCUCCAAUACAGCUCCGGAGCGCUAUUCAAUGAUUAGUGUAUCCCAUCAUGCAUCAUGUUUUGGAACAAAGACUUUUUGCCGAGAUCUCACGAGAGGUCACGGAAACCUUUCCAAUGUAUGUGAAAUAUUAAUAAUAAUAAUUAGAUAUUGAGAAUAAUUUGGUAGUAAAACAAAGUGUUGCACGUUUUCUUGGUGCACAGAAAAGUAUAUUUAUUUUGUACAUCAUUUGCAACUGCUUUUUAUCACUUAAUUAGAAGCACCACAAAUUAAAUCGUCAUCUGUAAUUGGGACUAUUGAACAGAUAUUUAGAAGUUUAUUUUAAAAUGAAAAGUUGAAACUAAAAAUAAAUCUCUGUAAACACCUGCAUUUUUACAACACUAGAAGUGUGUCCCAUCAGGUAAUGAAAAGUUCGACACACACUUGUGGUCUUCAUGUACACUUGGGCCAAAUACAGGAAAUACAUCAAAUAAGUAAUCAAGUGGUCAAGUGCAAAGACGGCAAGUGUGGGGAUUUGGACAGUGCAAAAGUUUAAGAAACAACAAAUGCGGUGCAAAUUAUAACAGCAGGAAUGUUUGAUAAAAGAGUAAAACUAUCACAGACCUACCGCUGCAAAUGUGUGCCUCCGCAGCUUUCUGUCUUUCCAUUUCUGAAGGAAUACCUCUCCACAAACACAACUGGGCUGACUGCUUCCUUUACUUCUUUUCAGAUAAAAAAAUAAAUAAAAUAAUAAAAAAGGGGAGAGAAAAUAAAAUAGAAUUAUAUACAGAAUGUUUAUAAUGAUCUAUGAGCAAAACAUUUGAUAUAAACUGAUAUGAAUGAACUGCAAGAUAGGCAAGGAACAGUAAAUGUGAUUACGGUGAUAUCUAUCAUAUAAAAGCACAUCAAAACUACCAUUACACUGGUACAACCAAAGUUAGUUUGGUGAUUAUUGUGCUACAGUAUUACUAUACCAUAGUAAAACUACAGUUACUGUGGUAAAAACAUGGUAAAUGUCCUGUUUACUGGGUUUUAACUUGAAAUUUAAUUUGUUACUAUUGUAAGUGUCGUUGUCACCAUGCUUUUACUACAAAUACAUCUUUGAACCUGAUAUGAAUAUAAAACUGAUCCAAGGUCUAUGGCACGUCACGUGAAAGAUAGAGUUUAAUCACCUCAGUUAGCAGCUGUGUUCAUUUAGUUAAACGCAAUGAAACUCAAAGACAGCCUCGGAUGACCGAUAUAAUACAGCGAGUAAACAUACGGCACUAACCUGACCUGAUUAAUAAAGAAGACAGAAAACAUUUUAUAACAGACAUUAAUGAUUAAAUCAGCAUAUUUACGACUACUCACCCAACCUGUGGCACAUGUAAACGGUUGGCAAAUAUCGCAAUGUUUGCUGAAUGAGACUUCUUGAACGUGAUUUUAUAGCGAUAAACAUCUCAUGCCCUUCGCGUCUGAGUAUUGACGCCAAAAGAUUCCCACUGAAAGCAAUGUAGGUCCUAGUUUGUCGAUAUAGUGAUGCUGAGGGGCACCUUUGGCGUCUACAUAGUGACGCUAGAGGCGCUUGACUAUGCUUCAGUUUUUGACACCUUGGGAGUAAGAAUUGGUUGGAGCUAACGCUACCUGCCUACUCGUUUUAAGUCCUGUGUUGAGGACUUGUAGAGUUUACACUCAAACAUAAGUAUUUGCUGACCAUUUGUUACUAAUGACCAGAGCCGGACAGUAACGGAGUACAUUUACUUGAAUACAGUACUUAAGUACAAUUUUGAGGGAUCUGUACUUUACUCGAGUAUCAUUUUUGGGGAGUACUCAUGACUUUACUCAAGUACAUUUGAGAGGCAAAUAUUGUACUCUUUACUCCGCUACAUUUCUAUCCAUAACCGUAAGUACCCGUUACAUCUUCGGCCCCAAUCCGAUCUUUUUUCCCUUGUCUCAAGAAAUAUCCGCGUCCACACGAAACCACAAAACCAUGUAGUAUAUAUGCCAGACCAGCAUGUGGCACUGUAAUUCUGCCACAGAGAUACACUAAAAACGGAGAAGAAGACUUAGACUAUGCUUAUAAACCUUGCGCGUGGUACACAAACGAACAUGGAACAAUACAUUUAUUAAUCUGUGUUAAUGUUAGUUAAUAAAAAGACAAUCGUUCAGUGUUUGUUCAUGUUUUUGUUACUAUUACGUGACGUAGCGGUGUCUGAUUAGGGCGAGACGUGGGCUGAUGACUUCAUCGGAAAAAAAGAAAAAUCUCGGAAAUGUGUUGUUUCCCUCUCAAACGUGAUUGGAUUGUGCAGGCGCCACUGAUUGGGACACAGCCUAUCAGCAAUCACAUUCAGCUAUCCGCCAAAGAUUUAAUGACAUUUGAUUGAAUUGAAGUACAGUACACACACACACACAGAGAGAGUUGUCACACAUAGAUUGUGUGUGUGAGACAGUGUUGGGGGUAACGAGUUACAAAGUAACGGAUUACAGUAACUAUAUUACUUUUUUGGGUAACGAAGUAAAGUAGCGCAUUAACCUAAUAAUAUUGGUAACUACACUACUUUACUAGACUAUAGGAACGCGCUUUCCUGCGUUACACAAGACCUGUUUGCCUGUGUGUAAAGUUCUGGGCCGGGUUUCCCGAUAACGACUGAUCAUAGCGCUUAAGAACGUUUUCUACGAGUAAUUUUACGAUCGUGUGUUAUAGUUUCACGUGCGUUUCCCAAAAAUGCACGUAAAGCAAUCGCACGUAGCUGUGCUUUAAGUGCUACUUAGGAGACGCUAUCCGUUUGUCAAGUGCUGAAAUAUCACCUUAAAGAAUGGCUCUUAAUUGUAGUAAACGAUAGUUUAUUGACGUUAACCUAAUGCUGCGUUCCAGACAGACAACUUUGAUAUAAUAA